AUUGAACGCUGGCGGUAUGCCUUACACAUGCAAGUCGAACGGUAGAGGGGCAACCCUUGAGAGUGGCGAACGGGUGAGUAAUACAUCGGAACGUGCCCAGUCGUGGGGGAUAACGUAGCGAAAGCUACGCUAAUACCGCAUACGACCUGAGGGUGAAAGCGGGGGAUCGCAAGACCUCGCGCGAUUGGAGCGGCCGAUGGCAGAUUAGGUAGUUGGUGGGGUAAAGGCCUACCAAGCCUGCGAUCUGUAGCUGGUCUGAGAGGACGACCAGCCACACUGGGACUGAGACACGGCCCAGACUCCUACGGGAGGCAGCAGUGGGGAAUUUUGGACAAUGGGCGCAAGCCUGAUCCAGCCAUACCGCGCGCGGGAAGAAGGCCU
rnacentral:rRNA from 1 species